UACGUAGGGUGCGAGCGUUGUCCGGAAUUAUUGGGCGUAAAGAGCUCGUAGGCGGUCUGUCGCGUCGGAUGUGAAAACUCGGGGCUCAACCCCGAGCCUGCAUUCGAUACGGGCAGACUAGAGUUCGGUAGGGGAGACUGGAAUUCCUGGUGUAGCGGUGAAAUGCGCAGAUAUCAGGAGGAACACCGGUGGCGAAGGCGGGUCUCUGGGACGGUACUGGACGCUGAGACGCGAAAGCGUGGGGAGCGAACAGG
rnacentral:rRNA from 1 species